rnacentral:rRNA from 1 species
GUGUCAGCAGCCGCGGUAAUACGGAGGAUGCGAGCGUUAUUCGGAUUUAUUGGGUUUAAAGGGUGCGUAGGCGGGUCAUUAGGUCAGUGGUGAAAUCCUGCAGCUUAACUGUAGAAUUGCCAUUGAUACUGAUGAUCUUGAGUAUGGUCAAGGCAGGCGGAAUGUGUAAUGUAGCGGUGAAAUGCUUAGAUAUUACACAGAACACCGAUAGCGAAGGCAGCUUGCUGGGCCGUUACUGACGCUGAUGCACGAAAGCGUGGGGAUCGAACAGGAUUAGAUACCCUGGUAGUCCACGCCGUAAACGAUGAUCACUAGCUGUUGGCGAUACACCGAUCAGCGGCAAAGCAAAAGCAUUAAGUGAUCCACCUGGGGAGUACGGCCGCAAGGCUGAAACUUAAAUGAAUUGACGGGG